UGAACGCUGGCGGCAGGCCUAACACAUGCAAGUCGAGCGGAUGAAGGGGGCUUGCUCCUGGAUUCAGCGGCGGACGGGUGAGUAAUGCCUAGGAAUCUGCCUGGUAGUGGGGGAUAACGUCCGGAAACGGGCGCUAAUACCGCAUACGUCCUGAGGGAGAAAGUGGGGGAUCUUCGGACCUCACGCUAUCAGAUGAGCCUAGGUCGGAUUAGCUAGUUGGUGGGGUAAAGGCCUACCAAGGCGACGAUCCGUAACUGGUCUGAGAGGAUGAUCAGUCACACUGGAACUGAGACACGGUCCAGACUCCUACGGGAGGCAGCAGUGGGGAAUAUUGGACAACGGGCGAAAGCCUGAUCCAGCCAUGCCGCGUGUGUGAAGAAGGUCUUCGGAUUGUAAAGCACUUUAAGUUGGGAGGAAGGGCAGUAAGUUAAUACCUUGCUGUUUUGACGUUACCAACAGAAUAAGCACCGGCUAACUUCGUGCCAGCAGCCGCGGUAAUACGAAGGGUGCAAGCGUUAAUCGGAAUUACUGGGCGUAAAGCGCGCGUAGGUGGUUCAGCAAGUUGGAUGUGAAAUCCCCGGGCUCAACCUGGGAACUGCAUCCAAAACUACUGAGCUAGAGUACGGUAGAGGGUGGUGGAAUUUCCUGUGUAGCGGUGAAAUGCGUAGAUAUAGGAAGGAACACCAGUGGCGAAGGCGACCACCUGGACUGAUACUGACACUGAGGUGCGAAAGCGUGGGGAGCAAACAGGAUUAGAUACCCUGGUAGUCCACGCCGUAAACGAUGUCGACUAGCCGUUGGGAUCCUUGAGAUCUUAGUGGCGCAGCUAACGCGAUAAGUCGACCGCCUGGGGAGUACGGCCGCAAGGUUA
rnacentral:rRNA from 1 species